rnacentral:rRNA from 1 species
GAUCCUGGCUCAGAACGAACGCUGGCGGCAGGCUUAACACAUGCAAGUCGAACGCGUGUAGCAAUACACGAGUGGCGCACGGGUGAGUAACGCGUGGAUAUCUGCCUUUGGUUCGGAAUAACUCCGGGAAACUGGAGCUAAUACCGGAUGGUUCCUACGGGAUAAAGAUUUAUCGCCAAAAGAUGAGUCCGCGUACGAUUAGCUAGUUGGUGAGGUAAUGGCUCACCAAGGCGACGAUCGUUAGCUGGUCUGAGAGGACGAUCAGCCACACUGGGACUGAGACACGGCCCAGACUCCUACGGGAGGCAGCAGUGGGGAAUAUUGGACAAUGGGGGCAACCCUGAUCCAGCCAUGCCGCGUGAGUGAUGAAGGCCUUCGGGUUGUAAAGCUCUUUUGGCGGGGACGAUGAUGACGGUACCCGCAGAAUAAGCCCCGGCUAACUUCGUG